AAUACAUAAAAUUGUUAUCCACAAAUCGUUUGUCAAAACUUACACUUUUCCAUUACGUGUUCGUACUGCGCAUGAACAUGGAGCAAAAUCGAUCGAUUUUUCAACGCCUCCACGAAGCUUCCAAAGCGACAAAACGUUCACAUUAUUAGCAAAGAAAACAGUCGAGUGAAAGCAUCACUUAAAGCUCAUAUUAACCUUGUUACAGGUAAAAAGUGCAUUGAACGCUGUUACGGGUACAACUGGUUGACGCCACGGUUAUGAAGGUCAAUAGCAGAGACGCCUUUGCAACAGGGAAGUAGUACCAGUUGUUGAAUAUCGGACAUUUUCGGACAGUUGUUUGUAAUAUGAUGUUGAUACGAUAAUCGCUUUAACCUUAUUCCCACUAAUACGCAGAUUACAAUUUCAGCAAAAUCGAAUAGUUCUUCUUGCGUGUGAAAGAAUGUGUGUCUGUUUGUGCGAAUGUGUGCGUGAUUGAGAUGGAGUGCUUUCUCUUAGUUUUAAGACAUCAUUUGGGGAGGGAAUCAAUGCGCAAUUUUGUAGCAGCUUCUCGCGCUUGCCGUAGUUACCGCGUAAAGCGCGAGAAGCUGUGGAAGGUAACGCAACUAAACUGGUUUUUCUUAUUUGUUGCUGUUCCCACAAACUCUGGACACACCCGUCCAACUUGCAGCAAAGUUCCUUCGCCUGCUGGCUACCGCUGCAGAAGCGCAUCCAUAUGGACGAGACUGGCUGGACUAUCCUGCGCAUCCUGUCGCAGCGUAAUAAUGACGAAAUCGCGAAAGAGUUCGUCAAGCUAAAGUCGGAAGCCCGGCAGGAGAUUGCGGCUCAGGGUUAAAAGGCAAAAGUUAAACAAAAAUAUGUCAGUGUUGCGUGGACCGAAAACAUAACAUAAUAAUUCGUUAUUAACUAUUCGUGAAUAUAAGAUAAAAACAAAGAGAGAAAAUUAAGAAAAAAAAAACAACAACAAACACAUACACACACAGAAACACAAAACUAUCCAACUUACAUAAAAAACAAACCUAGAACUCCUAAGAAGUAAAAAAGAGAGCAGUGAAUGAGGGCAGAUGUAGUUAUGAAAGAAAAUAACAGUAAGGUAAACAAUAGCAGAGUAAGACCGUCAUUACGAACGCUUAGAAUAGAUACCGAAGGAAGACUGUAGAGAUAGGGAAUGCAAAGCGAUAAAAGAAGAAGAGAUAAGAUAGAAAGGGAAAGAGCGAGAAAGAGAGAGAUAGAGUUGUUAAACCAGCAGCAGCAGCAGCAACGCUAUACAUAACUAAUCUUUAGCUCUCGACUAUAUUUCUAUUCCUACAAUCGAACCAUCACUGUGUGUAUGUGUGUGUGUGUAUCUCCAAAUCGCAAAUUGUAUUGUCGUCAUAGUUAUACAAACUCGUCGUCUAAUAGGAGCGUCGUCUAAAAGGAUUUGGCAGGCGUUGUUGGCAUCCGGAGCGACGGCGGACACAUUCCGUCCGUUCCGUAUUUGGUUUUGAAUGAAUCCUGCCCAGUUUUGCCCAACUUCCCACUUUACUACUAUCAUCCAACUCGAGCAGCAAUGAAACAAUCGAUGUUAUAAAGGGAGCGAAAGAGCAAGAUAGUGAAGCUAAACGCGAUAAGCAGAUUUCCGGGAGCUCUCCAUAUCCAACCCUUACUGUGAAAACCAAAACCAAAAUACAUAUAUCUAAUGUUGUUUACUCCUCUUACUCUGCGUUACGAUGUUAUCAGUUACGUUUUGAUGAAAAUGAAACAAACAAAAAACAAAACAAAACAUACACAAAAACCUAAACACAUAGCAAGAUCGACUCUCGUUCCGUUCAGAUCAAUGUAGAAACCAGCUAGGGUCACCAGAUUGGUCAACCGUAGUGCGGUAAGCAAAAAGCCAAAUACCAAAAAUCGAAAGACAAAACCAACAAGAAACAAUCAAAAAUCGCAACAACAACAAACAAGUUAAUCGCCCGUAAAGUAUUAUGUUUGUCCAUGGGAUGUAAGGAUUUUGACAAAAGAAAGGAAAGGAAAAAAGAAAUCAAUGCCAUCAAUGUUUGGAUUGGAAGUAUAAAUUCUCUAAGUAAUAAGAAAGGGUAAAAGAACGAAGAAAAAACACAAGUAAAGCCAUUACAACGACUUGUUGUUUUCAAUACAGUACGCACAGAGAGGGUAAGAGAGGUAAAUAAAGAGAAGCAUAGAGACAGAGACAGAGAAAGAAAGAAAGAAUGAUAUAGAGAGAGAAAGGAUACAGAGUUUUUUUUCAUUGGUUUGCAUAAUUGUGGGACACUUCCUAGGCGUACCUUUCUUUUGUGUAGUGAACUUUAUAUGUUGGGAAUUGGACUCGAUGGCACCCUUUUUGGAGGUUCUUUGGAAAUUCCUAUUGGAUUUGUCCAAAAUAAGUGCUUUAGAAUACCCACACCACAUAACGUUCAUUUCCAGCAAGAAAGAGCAUAUAAAGUGUCCCACAACUAUGAGCAUUCCUGAAAAGCCCUGUAAAACAUGGAACGAUAAAAAAAAAAAGUAAAACAAGCAAAGAUAAUAACCAACCAGAAGGGAAGAGAAAUCAGCCACAAAAGUAUCGAAACAGCAUAGUAAACACUUGUAAUCGUUAUCGGCAGACAAAGGCAGCAUCCAUGUACACCGUAUAUAAAUAUCAUACCAAAUAUCAUACAUACGCAUACGAACCUACCUACCAAUCCUAACUACCUGCCUACACCAGCAUACACCCUCUUGUCUACCUUUCAUGCAAACAUACCCGACCUACCCCAAUAACUACCUACCAAGAGCACAUACAUAUACUGCAUAUAUAUAUAUAUAUAUACACACAUAUAGAACAAAAUGCAAACCACAAACGAACAUACCAGGCAUGUAGUGUCAGAGAGCAAACGUAUAAGAAGUAAUCAUAGUUGUAACACAGAGGUAAUAUAUACAUAUACAUAUAUAUAUAUCACACAUUAUUAGCUCCCAUAAUACAUUCGGCCGCUAUGUAGGGGUGUAGCCGCGAUCAUCAGUCAGUGUAGAGCAGUGAGUCUGGGAAGUUCGAGACGGUUCGGUAGCAGAGGGCACAUCAUUGUAAGCUAGGAUAUGUAAAAAUGUUAUGCACUUAGCAGAUGAAAACCAGUUGAUAGAAGCUAUUACAAUUUGAUUGUUUAAACAUAUUUUCUAACAAUUCCUUGCUUAUAGUAAGAUACAAAUUCCAAAAAUAAAUCUUUUGCAAAAACAA